AACCCAAAUGGAAAAUGACAAAGAAAGCUGUCAAGCAUCAACAGAUAAAGCCUAGAAUGUAUCGACCAAGAAAAACAGAAAAGCAAAGAUAAAACACCAUAACCAGCAAGCAGUGUCUCGUUAUCGUCCAUAAUCAGCCAAGAUGCUCUCCUCUAGAUUUGCAACAACAGCUUGGAGAUUCAACAGAACCUUCUCCAAAGUUCAAAGAAAAACUUCAGCGACCUUGAGUCCUCUGAUCCCAGGCGAACCGAUCUUUCCUCACCACCGUCUGAACCAGAUCAGGUACAUCGUUAACCCAACUCCCACAGACCCCUCUUCUCCGUCCCUCCAUUGCCAGGACAUGCGCCGCUUCAUUCACCUCACGAGGCACAAAGAUAUAGAGCGUCACCUUCCACAACCAGCCGCUGAAAGCACAUCUUACGCGUGAAUACUAAAGCUCUCUCACAAGCCUGUGCCUUUGCCACAAAAGAAUCAGCAACAUCUUUGAAAAGAUAAGUUCUAACAAAACGAACUUUGUGGCCCAGUGAACCUUCAAAAGGAGGAAACUGAACUUGCAGCACAUCCCAUACAUCCUGUAAAAUAUCACAAGACCACAAAAGAAUGCUCAGAAUUCUCCAAAUCAGCCUUACACAGUGGACACACCGCUUCCUCGCACAGAGUUCUACGUGCCAGAUUACCAUAGUGAGGCACCAAAUUAUUAAACAACCUCCACACAUGUAUUUUAAUUUUCUCAGGAAUAUUUAGUGACCACAAGUCCAUAUAGAACCUUUUGUGCUCAUCAUUAUUAGAGGAUAAAUUAGAUCUGUUCUGUAAAAGUUCUUUAAUAAGGACUCGAUAUCCGCUCUUAACCGUGUAUUCACCCGAACCUUCGUACUUCCAGACCCUUAUGUCCUUCGGUUUACUUUCAGAGAUAGGGAUGGAGAGAAUUCUAGCUGUUGUAUCAUCAUCAACUAACUUAUGAAUAAGCUCUCUGUUCCAGCUAACCAGAGAUUGUUCCAUAUAUUAAUUCAAUCACCAUUUCCAACCCUCCACACAAUCUCUUCUCCAAUCAACUCACGUGCACUGCAAAUGCUUCUCCAGGUAAACGAUAGGUAAGAGCUUACUUUUGCUGAUAAAAUAUAUGAGUAAGGAAAAUAUCUGGCUUUAAGAACCUUGGCUAAAAGACAGUUAGGUCGGGUCAAGAUACGUCAAACCUGUUUUGCUAAUAAUACUUUGUUAAACAUAAACAAGUCUUUAAAUCCCAUCCCUCCAAUACAUUUUGGCUUACAAAGCAUAUCCCAAGUACUCCAAUAGAUGCCCUUCGACGAUUUAUUAUUAGUCCACCAAAACCUAUUCAUCACACCUUCAAGCUUUUGACAUAACGUCUUAGGCAGAAGGAAGCAUUGCAUAGCAUAGAUUGAUGAAGCCUGCAAAACCGAUUUUAUAAAAACCUCCUUACCCCCCAUUGACAAGUCGCGCAAACUCCACCCCUCAACCCUUUUUCUGAAACGGUCCACAUAAUUGGCAAAAGCCCACUUUUUAUUCCUACCCACCAUCAUAGGCAAACCUAGGUACUUUUCUAGGUUGGAAGCCAACCGAACUCCUAGCAGAUUGACGAUAUCCUCUUUUACUCUAGCUUCCACAUUUGCUCCAAAGUAGAUAAGUGACUUUUCAAAAUUCACACGUUGCCCUGAAGCCCUCUCAUACUCGCGAAUUACCUCACGAACGACCCCAGCUCCCUCAUAAGAGGCAUCGCCAAAUAAGAUACAAUCAUCAGCGAAGAAUAAGUGGUUCACAGUAAAUCUCUCUCUUUCAACAGUUGCCCCCACCAUCCGUCCUUUAUUUUUAGCAGCACGAAUGAGCGCAGAAAAACCUUCGGCACAAAUCAGAAACAAAUAGGGGCUAAGAGGGUCACCUUGAGAACCAUUCGCUAUAAUAACCAUUAAGGCUAACCGAAUAGGAGACAGAACAAAUACAAUGCAUAAUGAGAACAAUCCAAUCCAUGUGAACCCCCAGAUGCUUCAUCAUUCCUGCUAAAAAAUCUCAUUCAACACAAUCAUACGCUUUACUCAUAUCGAGUUUAAGAGCAAAAUGACCUUUCUUACCAUGUUUCUUCAUUUUUAAGGAAUGCAGUAACUCAUAAGCAAUAAACACGUUGUCCGAAAUAAGUUGCCCUGGUAUAAAAGCCCAUUGAGCUUCAUUGAUACAAUCCCCUAGCAUAUCACUCAUUCGAGUCACCAGUACUUUCGUAAUAAUUUUAUAAACAACAUUACACAGGCUUAUGGGUCUGAAAUGCGACAUAUCUUUUGGCUUAUCAAUUUUUGGGAUUAAAAUAAUGCGCGUUUUAUUGAGAUCUCCUAAUUCUGCUUGACCAUUCAGAAUAGAUAAACAAAAUUGAGAGACUUCUAGACCAACAAUGUGCCAAUACCUCUAGAAAAAGAUAGCAAAAUACCCGUCAACACCGAGAGCCUUCAAUGGCGCCAUCUGUUUAACAGCAUAGCCGAUCUCUUCCUCAGUAAACUCCUUUAACACCUCAUCGUUCAUACUAUCUGUAACUUUUUCCUCCACUAAACCGAAUAAGUGAUCAUCUGAUCCUACCUCUGAAACAGAAAAAAGGUUGCCAAAAUAAUUAGAUGCAAUCUGAACAAACUCCUCAGUCGAUUUUGCUUGUCUCCCAUUAUCAUCUUGCAGCUCCGUAAUUCUAAAUCGAAAAUGACGUUGCACAGCAACCUUAUGAAAGUAGCUGGUGUUUCGAUCACCAUUCUUUAGCCAAUUCGCACGAGCACGUUGCUCCCAAAAUAAUUCUUCAUUAUCGGCUUCCAAGUUAAGUCCUAGUUGGAUCUCCGUAAUCUCAGCUAAUAUCUCAUCAGAAAUAUCUUGAUUAUACAGAUUAGAUAGUCUGUCUUCUAAUUCCAUCCUAUUCUUCUUCUCCUUUCUACCAGUCGACUGACUCCAUCUGAAUAACUGAUGUCCUAGCUUCUCAAACUUACCCAGAACACUUCCAGAGUUUUCAUCCCACCACCUUUUAACCAUCUCUUCAAAAGAGCUAUCCAAACACCAUUUGGCCUCAACUUUAAAUGUCUUCACAAAAUUGUCUUCAUUGUUCCUUGUCACUCCUAUAGUAUCAAGGAGAAGGGGACAAUGGUCGGAAAAAGAGUGACUCAAAUGUUCAAGCCGAUACCCUAGAAAGAGAUUCACCUAACUCAAUGUAGCAACUCCACGAUCCAACUAUUCUCUUAUAUUUGUAGAGACAAGACGUCCUCGUUCCCAUGUAAACCAUCUGCCAGUAAAGCCUAAAUUCGUAAGAGUGCAAUCCUCCAACGCCUCGCGAAAUUCCUUCAUUUGUCGAUCUGAAUGGAGACGUCCACCCUCAUUUUCAAAAGAAUUCGCAAUUUUAUUAAAGUCUCCCAAUACCACCCAAGGGAUAGUUUGAUCAUGAUGUAGCUGACGAAGAAGGUCCCACGAAGCACUUCUAUUCCUUUCAUCCGAGUGUCCAUAGAAUCCCGUAAACCUCCAAACAUCGCCACAUUCAUUAUCAUGAAUUUUCACAUCUAUAUGAAACAAAGAAAAACUUUUAAGCUGCACCAAGGAAUUACCUUUCCAGCCCAACGAUAAUCUCAUUUUUGUGCCUAUAGCCCCAACGUCAAUUCCAUUUUCAAAACCACACUUCAACCUUACCAUCUCCAUACGUUUUGAACUUAAUUUCGUCUCCAUAAUAAACAAAAUAUUGGGAUUUAUGGCUCUUAACUUAUUCCUAAGCCUUUUUACAGUUCGUGAUCUCCCCAAACCACGAAUAUUCCAGCUUAGUAUUUUUAUUGAGCCCGGCUACUCUGGUCACCAGAGCUAGUCGAUACAUUCAAAAGACCUGGUCCAACAAUAGCAUCCAAAGGAACCCGUGAACUCUCCACAAUUCUCUGCCUUUUCUUUCCUUCCAGCAGCGCAAUAGGAUCAUCUUCCUCAUUCGAGACCAAAUCCAUUGGCCCGUACCCAGUACCAUCAGCCACCAUCAUAUCAGUCCCCCUAUCAAACCCCUUGUUUUGUCUACUGUUACCGCAAAACUGGCCAGAUCCCAAAGGAAUAAGAUUUGGAUUAGCAUUUUGAUUCACAGCAACUCCCCUAAAAUUCCGCCCUGACACUAUCCCCUCAUUUAUCGUAAUACCAUGUUUGGGUCUUGCUAAAUUAUCUGUGAUACGCGGUGACCCAUCUGCUUCCCGUAACCAUCUACUCUCCGCCGUAUUCCGACGCCUUGCCGCCGCACGCAGUGAUAAAUCCCAGCCAAAUACAAUUUUAGAGGGUUCAAUUUGUAAUCGAAGAGGAUAAAAACUCUCUCCAUGACCUAAUCUUCCACAAAUAAAGCAAAACAGGCUAAGCUUCUCAUAUUUAAAUCUAGCAUAAACAACCAUUGAUUUUCCAAACAAGACUUUCUUUUUACGUUUCAAUGGAACAGUAACAUCCAGACAAACACGAAUGCGUAAAAAAGUCUGAAUACCCAAGGUUGGUGUAGAAGUAUCAUACUCAAUGAAUCUCCCACAGAAAUUACCAAAUUGUUUCGCCAUCGAUUCAUUCAUUGAUCCUGACAGUAAGUCAUGAACUUGUAUCCAAAACUCGGUAAAAUUUAACUCCAUCACUGUCGGAUUUUCCCCCUUAGAAAUUGUUUGAAGUAUAAGUAAAUGGUUAUUGAAAAACCACGGUAUCCCUGCAUUUACCCUUACAAAAUCAAUCUCAUUAAAAAGUUGAAAAAGAUACAUAUUCUCCCCCAACUUCGUAAUACAAAUUCCCCCAAUUGGAUGCCAAAGAUCCGCCAUGGUGUUACGCAAUGAAAGAAAGUGGAUGACACUAUCUGUUAGGCAACGUCCCACUAGACAGAAUCGAUACGCAGCACUCACCGCUCCUUCAACUUCAUGAAUCGCCUCCUCCUCAUCAUCUAACAACUUCAGAUUUGCCAUUGCAUAUUCCAUCGUACGCCCACAAACUGCCACAAAUGACGAGAGAAAACCUAAAACAAUUUGGGAAAAGAAAGACUCCGUGCCAAUUGGCAGACUGAAGAAACGUGCCAAAAACGGCAGACUUUAUGUUCUAAAGUACAUAAUUAUUUUUUUUUGACCAUCAUUUACUUGUAAAAUUUUAAAUAUAAGCUAAUGGAAGUUUAUCAUCAUUUAAUCUAUACUUGUGGAAUAUCUUAUA